rnacentral:rRNA from 1 species
AUUGAACGCUGGCGGCAGGCCUAACACAUGCAAGUCGAGCGGAGCGGCGGACGGGUGAGUAAUGCCUAGGAAUCUGCCUGGUAGUGGGGGACAACGUCCGGAAACGGGCGCUAAUACCGCAUACUAUCAGAUGAGCCUAGGUCGGAUUAGCUAGUUGGUGGGGUAAAGGCCUACAAGGGCGACGAUCCGUAACGGGUCUGAGAGGAUGAUCAGUCAACCUGGAACGGAGACACGGUCCGGACUCCUACGGGAGGAAGCAGGGGGGAAUAUUGGACAAUGGGCGAAAGCCUGAUCCAGCCAUGCCGCGUGUGUGAAGAGGGUCUUCGGAUUGUAAAGCCCUUUAAGUUGGGAGGCGUUACCAACAGAAUAAGCACCGGCUAACUUCGUGCCAGCAGCCGCGGUAAUAC